GGUUCCUUUCCAAAAGGAGAUUUCAGGGAUUGAGGCAGUUGAAGAAAGAGUGAAGCCAGUUCUUUCCAACAGCGGGGGCAGUCCCUGUGGAGAGGACCCCAUGAACUUGAGCUUCCUCUGAGACAUUCCCCACCAUGUCUCAGCAAGGAGACAGACGCAGUUCCCUUUCCUGCUUUGCAUGCGGAAAGGUGUGUUGGUUUAAUCCCCUGAACUGAUGUCUGAAAGUGCCUGUCUUCUCCACCUGAGUGAAGAAGUGCAGUGUGGUUCCCUGUGUUAGGGAGCAGCAGCCAGCAGGCUGCCAGAAUGCCAGCUGUGCCUUUCAGCACACAAAGGGAUGUGAUGGGGAUGGACCAUCCUUAGCACCAUGCAAAAGUGAGUUUCUUCAGUCCUCUGUCAUGAAGUAUGGAAGAAUGAAUUUUGAGUAUUACUUCUGAGCGGGUGCAGUGCUGUAGGGGGUGUCCAAUAGGCCACUGGAAGCAUUAGAGCGUCCGACAGCGGCAGCUGAUGGCAGCAGAGUGAUACGAGUCUGUGUAUAAGUGGCGGUGCUUAGAGCUGAGUGAAUUCCUUUUAGGGACAAAAAAUCCAUGUCUCAACUUUUGCAGCUGAUAGCAUUUUGUUUGCUGAUGCCUCUUUGCCCUGCAGAAUGCAGAGCUGUCAGGCAGACCGGGAGGUCCUUUGCUGCCAUCGGAGCAGGAAUGAGACCAGUAGUGCUUUGUCUGAUGCAAACCGCCUUGCAGUGAAGCGCGGCCUUGCAGAAAGGAAGGGGAGGAGCAUGGAGUGUGGCAUGGCACUGAAGAGAGGGAAAGGUGCUGAGCCAAAUGGCGAGAUCUAUGUGAAAGCUCAUGUCCAGGCUGGAGGGCUUCCUGGAGCAGAAAGUCGCAGCACAGGUGGAAGACCUUCCUCUGCAGUUGACAACCACUCCUUCUCCAAGACCAUUGUUGCAAGAAAGCGUAAGGGAGUGGACGAAGAGGGGCAAAAAGCAGAGCUGUGGCCAGACAAGAAACAAGUGAAGAUGGAGCGCAAUGGGGCAAAGGUUCAGAGCCCAUAUCAGAGCAGAGGCGGUGUGCCAGCUCCCACAGCACACCCUGGACCUACCCCAGCGCCAACUGAACAGUUCCAGACCUCGAAGCUAAGAGCAAGAGGAUGACAGCAAAAAGAGAGGAGAGCGGAAAUGCAGAAGGCUGCUCUGAGAGCUGCUGCUGCACAUGCAGAGGUGAGUCCUUGGUGAACACAGACUUGCUCUUGUUCUCAGGG
rnacentral:lncRNA from 7 species